UGGCUGGCCAAGAAAAAUUGGCAUCUGGCAUACCUAGGAAUCAUUCAAAAUAGUUUAAUAGGAAGGACAUUUUGAGGCCAGCCAGCAUUAUGACAUUUGUGGGUCCUACGGCAUUUCACCUUGGAAACAUUUUCCUGGGCAUCUAAAAGUAUUGUGGACCUGAGACACUGUGCUUACAGGGCCUACUGGGUUGAUUCUAAAGAGGAAAGAAAAUCUAUAUGCAUGAAAAGAUGUCUUAAAAAGUUUUGAACUACUCAGAGUUAAGAUUUGGGGAAAUAGAAAUAGUAUAUAACUUAAGAAAAUUGCCACUGGCUGUGAACCCCCGUGGCAUUUUCUUUGCACUUUUUUGCUUCUCGUUAGAUUGUAUGUGUUUUUACCAUUUCACACAAACUUUUAAAGAUUAUUCCACGCCGUUAGCUCUGUGCUUCUG
rnacentral:antisense_RNA from 1 species